GACGAACGCUGGCGGCGUGCCUAACACAUGCAAGUCGAACGAGACCUUCGGGUCUAGUGGCGCACGUGUGCGUACCACGUGGGAACCUACCCUUAGGUUCGGAAUAACUCCCCGUAGGGGGUGCUAAUACAGGUUAAUGUCUUCGGACCAAAGAUUUAUCGCCUUUGGAUGGGCGCGCGUUGGUUUCGGUAGUUGGUAGUGUACAAGCAUACCAAGGCGACGAUGCAUAGCUGGUCGGAGAGCAUGAUCAGCCACACUGGGCAUGAGACACGGCCCAGACUGGUAGGCGACGGAGGAGUAGGGAAUAUUGGAGAAGGAGCGAUAGUCCGGCCCAGCAACGUCGGGGAAGUGAGGAAGGCCGUAGGGUUGUAAAGCUCUUUUACACGAGAUGAGAAUGACAGUACUGGGAGAAGAAGCUCCGGCUAACUACGUG
rnacentral:rRNA from 1 species